AACGCUAGCUACAGGCUAACACAUGCAAGUCGAGGGGCAGCAUGAUCGAAGCUGCUUGAUCGAUCGGCGACCGGCGCACGGUGAGUAACGCGUAUCCAACCUUCCCUAUAGUAGAGAAUAGCCCGGCGAAAGUCGGAUUAAUGCUCUAUGUUGAUUUAGAGGACAUCUGAAGAAUACCAAAGGUUUACCGCUAUAGGAUGGGGAUGCGUCUGAUUAGGUAGUAGGCGGGUAACGGCCCACCUAGCCGACGAUCAGUAGGGGUUCUGAGAGGAAGGUCCCCCACAUUGGAACUGAGACACGGUCCAAACUCCUACGGGAGGCAGCAGUGAGGAAUAUUGGUCAAUGGACGGAAGUCUGAACCAGCCAAGUAAGCGUGCAGGAUGACGGCCCUAUGGGUUGUAAACUGCUUUUAUAUAGGGAUAAAGUCGGGGACGUGUCCCCGUUUGUAGGUACUAUAUGAAUAAGGACCGGCUAAUUCCGUGCCAGCCGCCGC
rnacentral:rRNA from 1 species